UACGUAGGGUGCAAGCGUUGUCCGGAAUUAUUGGGCGUAAAGAGCUCGUAGGCGGUCUGUCGCGUCGGCUGUGAAAACCCGGGGCUCAACCCCGGGCCUGCAGUCGAUACGGGCAGACUAGAGUGCGGUAGGGGAGACUGGAAUUCCUGGUGUAGCGGCGAAAUGCGCAGAUAUCAGGAGGAACACCGGUGGCGAAGGCGGGUCUCUGGGCCGUAACUGACGCUGAGGAGCGAAAGCGUGGGGAGCGAACAGG
rnacentral:rRNA from 1 species